GAUGAACGCUGGCGGCGUGCCUAAUACAUGCAAGUCGAGCGCGAGAGUGAGGAGCUUGCUCCUCAUAAUCGAGCGGCGGACGGGUGAGUAACACGUAGGCAACCUACCCUUGAGAUUGGGAUAACUACCGGAAACGGUAGCUAAUACCGGAUACGACUUUUCCACACAAGUGGAAUGGUUAAAAGGCGGAUUUAUCUGCCGCUCAUGGAUGGGCCUGCGGUGCAUUAGCUAGUUGGUGAGGUAGUGGCUCACCAAGGCGACGAUGCAUAGCCGACCGUAGAGGGUGAUCGGCCACACGGGGACUGAGGCACGGCCCAGACUCCUACGGGAGGCAGCAGUAGGGAAUCUUCCGCAAUGGACGCAAGUCUGACGGAGCAACGCCGCGUGAGUGAUGAAGGGUUUCGGCUCGUAAAACUCUGUUGUUAAGGAAGAACACUUGAGGUAGUAACUGGCCUUGAGAUGACGGUACUUUACCAGAAAGCCACGGCUAACUACGUGCCAGCAGCCGCGGUAA
rnacentral:rRNA from 1 species